CUCGUUGAUGAUCGGUGCUUGCACCGAGAUUCAACAUGGAACGAGUGGCGGACGGGUGAGUAACACGUGGGUAACCUGCCCUUAAGUGGGGGAUAACAUUUGGAAACAGAUGCUAAUACCGCAUAGAUCCAAGAACCGCAUGGUUCUUGGCUGAAAGAUGGCGUAAGCUAUCGCUUUUGGAUGGACCCGCGGCGUAUUAGCUAGUUGGUGAGGUAACGGCUCACCAAGGCGAUGAUACGUAGCCGAACUGAGAGGUUGAUCGGCCACAUUGGGACUGAGACACGGCCCAAACUCCUACGGGAGGCAGCAGUAGGGAAUCUUCCACAAUGGACGCAAGUCUGAUGGAGCAACGCCGCGUGAGUGAAGAAGGCUUUCGGGUCGUAAAACUCUGUUGUUGGAGAAGAAUGGUCGGCAGAGUAACUGUUGUCGGCGUGACGGUAUCCAACCAGAAAGCCACGGCUAACUACGUGCCAGCAGCCGCGGUAAUACGUAGGUGGCAAGCGUUAUCCGGAUUUAUUGGGCGUAAAGCGAGCGCAGGCGGUUUUUUAAGUCUGAUGUGAAAGCCCUCGGCUUAACCGAGGAAGCGCAUCGGAAACUGGGAAACUUGAGUGCAGAAGAGGACAGUGGAACUCCAUGUGUAGCGGUGAAAUGCGUAGAUAUAUGGAAGAACACCAGUGGCGAAGGCGGCUGUCUGGUCUGUAACUGACGCUGAGGCUCGAAA
rnacentral:rRNA from 1 species